GACGAACGCUGGCGGCGUGCUUAACACAUGCAAGUCGAACGGAAAGGCCCUGCUUUUGUGGGGUGCUCGAGUGGCGAACGGGUGAGUAACACGUGAGUAACCUGCCCUUGACUUUGGGAUAACUUCAGGAAACUGGGGCUAAUACCGGAUAGGAGCUCCUGCUGCAUGGUGGGGGUUGGAAAGUUUCGGCGGUUGGGGAUGGACUCGCGGCUUAUCAGCUUGUUGGUGGGGUAGUGGCUUACCAAGGCUUUGACGGGUAGCCGGCCUGAGAGGGUGACCGGCCACAUUGGGACUGAGAUACGGCCCAGACUCCUACGGGAGGCAGCAGUGGGGAAUAUUGCACAAUGGGCGGAAGCCUGAUGCAGCAACGCCGCGUGCGGGAUGACGGCCUUCGGGUUGUAAACCGCUUUCGCCUGUGACAAAGCGUGAGUGACGGUAAUGGGUAAAGAAGCACCGGCUAACUACGUGCCAGCAGCCGCGGUGAUACCUAGGGUGCGAGCGUUGUCCGGAUUUAUUGGGCGUAAAGGGCUCGUAGGUGGUUGAUCGCGUCGGAAGUGUAAUCUUGGGGCUUAACCCUGAGCGUGCUUUCGAUACGGGUUGACUUGAGGAAGGUAGGGGAGAAUGGAAUUCCUGGUGGAGCGGUGGAAUGCGCAGAUAUCAGGAGGAACACCAGUGGCGAAGGCGGUUCUCUGGGCCUUUCCUGACGCUGAGGAGCGAAAGCGUGGGGAGCGAACAGGCUUAGAUACCCUGGUAGUCCACGCUGUAAACGGUGGGUACUAGGUGUGGGGUCCAUUCCACGGGUUCCGUGCCGUAGCUAACGCUUUAAGUACCCCGCCUGGGGAGUACGGCCGCAAGGCUAAAACUCAAAGGAAUUGACGGGGCCCCGCACAAGCGGCGGAGCAUGCGGAUUAAUUCGAUGCAACGCGUAGAACCUUACCUGGGUUUGACAUGGAUCGGGAGUGCUCAGAGAUGGGUGUGCCUCUUUUGGGGUCGGUUCACAGGUGGUGCAUGGCUGUCGUCAGCUCGUGUCGUGAGAUGUUGGGUUAAGUCCCGCAACGAGCGCAACCCUUGUUCACUGUUGCCAGCACGUUAUGGUGGGGACUCAGUGGAGACCGCCGGGGUCAACUCGGAGGAAGGUGGGGAUGACGUCAAGUCAUCAUGCCCCUUAUGUCCAGGGCUUCACGCAUGCUACAAUGGCUGGUACAGAGAGUGGCGAGCCUGUGAGGGUGAGCGAAUCUCGGAAAGCCUGUCUCAGUUCGGAUUGGGGUCUGCAACUCGACCUCAUGAAGUCGGAGUCGCUAGUAAUCGCAGAUCAGCAACGCUGCGGUGAAUACUUUCCGGGGGCU
rnacentral:rRNA from 1 species